rnacentral:rRNA from 1 species
GUAGGUGGCGAGCGUUGUCCGGAUUUAUUGGGCGUAAAGCGCGCGCAGGCGGUCCGUUACGUCCGUUGUGAAAGCUCCCGGCUCAACUGGGAGAGGUCUUCGGAUACGGGCGGACUCGAGGGAGGCAGAGGAAGGUGGAAUUCCCGGUGUAGUGGUGAAAUGCGUAGAGAUCGGGAGGAACACCAGUGGCGAAGGCGGCCUUCUGGGCCUUUCCUGACGCUGAGGCGCGAAAGCGUGGGGAGCGAACCGGAUUAGAUACCCGGGUAGUCCACGCCGUAAACGAUGCUCACUAGAUGUGGGGGGUAUCGACCCCCUCCGCGUCGAAGCUAACGCAUUAAGUGAGCCGCCUGGGGAGUACGGCCGCAAGGCUAAA